GACGAAUGUACGGAAAGGGGCGAGUAGGGACGAAUGGACCCUGACGUCAUGCGUCCAGAGCUCGAUUUUCAUUCGUCUCGGAUUGGGAAGACUGAGCUGAGGUCACGAUGGCUGAUAAGGCAAGCCCUUCAUAUCAAAGCCCACACAAUCCACCACCAAUAGACAUAACUGGAGGUGGAUUAAAAAUAAGCACGUCUCCCCACAUUUCUCCUUCACGUCCACGCCCGCAAGGUCCAAUCUCGCAAACUCCACAACCAAAACCGCCAGUUAACAAACCUGCUUGACGGAGCUGAGUCAGCAGUUUUCCGAAGACUUCUUCAUCUCAACAAAAUAAAUGUCAGAACUCAAGAGAGCCGUGCAGACAUCCUCAUGUGGGCCUUACUAUUAGCAGUUCUUUGAUUAAUGUUGUCUUCGGAUAAUGUGAAAGUCCUUUAAUAUGCUCGUCACCGUGUAUUUUGCUGAAAGCAUUAAUAAAAUAUAUAUAUCUUAA